CCCUUAUCAAGAGAGGUGGAGGGACUGAGCCCUAUGAAACCCGGCAACCGGCAAAUUGUAUCGGUGCCAAUUCCUGCAGAAUAUAAAGUAUAAUCUGAAAGAUGAGGA
rnacentral:ncRNA from 2 species